rnacentral:tRNA from 1 species
GCCUGGGUGGCUCAGUGGUUGAGCGUCUGCCUUUGGCUCAUCUAGCGAUCCCUGGGCCCUGGGAUCAAUUCCCUCCUCAGGCU